rnacentral:rRNA from 1 species
UAGGGAAUCUUCCGCAAUGGACGCAAGUCUGACGGAGCAACGCCGCGUGAGUGAAGAAGGAUUUCGGUUCGUAAAACUCUGUUGUUAGAGAAGAACAGCGCAUAGAGUAACUGUUAUGCGUGUGACGGUAUCUAACCAGAAAGCCACGGCUAACUACGUGCCAGCAGCCGCGGUAAUACGUAGGUGGCAAGCGUUGUCCGGAUUUAUUGGGCGUAAAGCGAGCGCAGGCGGUCAAUUAAGUCUGAUGUGAAAGCCCCCGGCUCAACCGGGGAGGGUCAUUGGAAACUGUUUAACUUGAGUGCAGAAGGGGAGAGUGGAAUUCCAUGUGUAGCGGUGAAAUGCGUAGAUAUAUGGAGGAACACCAGUGGCGAAGGCGACUCUCUGGUCUGUAACUGACGCUGAGGUUCGAAAGCGUGGGUAGCAAACAGG